rnacentral:misc_RNA from 1 species
UCUCUCUCUCUCUCCCUCACACGCACACACUAUAAUUGUUCUUUAUUUAUUUUUUGUUGUUUUUGCUCUGCCAAUAAUGUACCUUUCAGGUCCAGUAAACUUUUUUUUUUUAAGUUAUCUAAACAAUAUUUUAUAUUAGUAAUACCUAUCACCCUCACAUGCAAAAUAUAGUAGCAUCACUAGCCAACACUAGAAAAUAUUUAAUCCAAGGAAAUUAUAGAGUUUCAUCAAUUGAUUCAUAAUUUUUCUAUGCAACAGUUACAAUAAUUCACAUCAUUGCUCGUCCAGAGCUCAAGACAGCUGUAAGGUCCUGUAAGCAUGAGGAUCCUAAUUCUUAAGUCCUCCCCCUCCCCCUUCACCCACUCCCUCGCUGGGAAUUACAAUGUCCUCGUAUCCCUAUCCCUGCCUUAAACAUGAGAAUCAAUCAACGGUGGUGUGGUUGGAGUUGUUUGUAAUAUCCUAUAACUCGUUUACCGUAAGGUUUUAAGUUUUUUAGAUCACGCUUGAGACCUAACCUGCAAAAUAUACCAUAGUGAAGUCAUAAUAGCAUGAACCGGUGACAGAAAUCCUCCAAGGAUCCAGUUUCCUUGCGGCGAUGAGCAGAGUACUUGACGAGUCAAGCCACUCAAUUUGGGCAUGAUAAUGAUUGGUGAGCCUUUGUAAAAGGUCACAAUAAAUGCCCCACUGACAGACACCACAGUGCCAACUAAUUUAGCGAGAUUACUAGAGUUCCUCAAGUUUAGCCUUUCCAUCCUACAACGUCAAGAAAAAUCAAUUUUAGGGCCAUAAAUUUGCUUCAUCUACAUUUUUUUCUGUCGCAAUGAGCAACCUUAUAUAUCAUGCUCGAGCAAAUCUUUUACAAGCAGGAAGAAUAAUUAGCCUAGGAAAACCUUUGUACACAUACUGCUUUAUGAAGCAUCAAUGAUUAAAAUUAGACAAAAAAAUAAAAGCAUAUACUGUUAGGAAUAUUUUACCAAAGGCCACACCUUUCACUAUUUUCUAAUUGGAUAUCUACCUUAUAGACGGUCAGAAAGACGAGCGACUAGAAGUGGAGACCAAUAAUUUGUCAUAUCCUGAACUGCACUUCAAUUUUGUGCUCAAAAUAUAACUGAGGUCUGUUUUUUCAUACAAGGGUAUCCGCAUUUUUUCAUUUGCUCUCGAUUCAAAUCCUUUUUUACUGUAAUUCAAAAAAUUAAAAAUUUUUUAAAAUAGAAAAAAAAAAGGAUUAUGUACGUGUGGCCGUAUGGGUUUUUUUU